CCUACGGGAGGCAGCAGUGGGGAAUAUUGGACAAUGGGGGGAACCCUGAUCCAGCCAUGCCGCGUGCAGGAAGACGGCUCUAUGAGUUGUAAACUGCUUUUGUACGAGGGUAAACGCAGAUACGCGUAUCUGUCUGAAAGUAUCGUACGAAUAAGGAUCGGCUAACUCCGUGCCAGCAGCCGCGGUAAUACGGAGGAUUCAAGCGUUAUCCGGAUUUAUUGGGCGUAAAGCGCUCGUAGGCGGUAUGUCAAGUCAAGUGUGAAAUCCCCGCGCUCAACGUGGGAACUGCCUUUGAAACUGGCAAACUGGAGUGUGUGAGAGGAUAGUGGAAUUCCAGGUGUAGGAGUGAAAUCCGUAGAUAUCUGGAGGAACAUCAGUGGCGAAGGCGACUAUCUGGCACAUAACUGACGCUGAGGAGCGAAAGCGUGGGUAGCAAACAGGAUUAGAUACCCCUGUAGUC
rnacentral:rRNA from 1 species